AAGACUACACUUUCAGGGACCAUUUCUAUAGUUCCUUAGUAGAGAAGUUUCUCUGAUCAUGUAGAGUACUGGAAACCAAGAGGAGGAGACACAGCGCUCUCUCCUGAGGGUGAAACCUGCUCUUGGUGUUGCUUUGCUGCAACUUCCAUCUGCCGUUGAUGAUCGUUUUACUCAUCUUUAGGGGAGUAAGAGGGAGAGAACGCAGAUCAGUGGU
rnacentral:snoRNA from 1 species